CAGUAGCCGCGGUAAGACGGAGGGUGCUAGCGUUGUUCGGAAUUACUGGGCGUAAAGGGCGCGUAGGCGGCCUGUUAAGUCGGAUGUGAAAGCCCGGGGCUCAACCCCGGAACUGCAUCCGAGACUGGCAGGCUUGAGACCGGGAGAGGAGGGUGGAAUAUCCAGUGUAGAGGUGAAAUUCGUAGAUAUUGGAUGGAACACCGGUGGCGAAAGCGGCUCUCUGGCCCGGAUCUGACGCUGAGGCGCGAAAGCGUGGGGAGCAAACAGGAUUAGAUACCCGCGUAGUCCCUGUCUCUUAUAC
rnacentral:rRNA from 1 species